ACAGCCUACGUUCACUUGCCGCCGCCUACUGGUGUAGCAGUUAAACACGUUCUUUAUUUCAACAUCAAAGAAUGCUUAUUUGCAAAAUGUUUAAAGACUCAAACGAGGCCCAGUUAGUUCCGCUGAACUUUGAGAAGAGUGUAACAUGAAAAUCCACAACAGAAAGGAAGGAUAUUGUUUUAAGGAGGACCGUAUGUUCGAACAUGGAAUCUUCAAUGUUUUUAGAGAAAACAGUGUGAAUGUCACCCACAUGUCAUGGUGUCAGUGGAGGGACAGACUGGAGUUUUGUAUGGCUGCAAGAAUACUGAUGAGCUAUGGUACAUACUGAACCCAGUGAAGAAGGUCAGAACCUGACAGAAAAGAAGAUCAGAUCAGAAGUCGGUGGACAAAAAGGUUGUGACCUCUUUUGAUGUUCAGCAGCAUGCAGGAAUAUUUUGUCUGGUUUCUUUUGGCAUGCCCUGCAUUGUUCAAUACAAAGGUCAGAUAACCGACAUCAUCUCAGUGUGUGAUCUGACAUGAAACUGUGUUAUGAGGGAAUAGUCCUAGGAGAUAAAGAAAUAAAGCAUGAGAGCUUGCACACAACUCAUGCCUCGGCUUUCACAAGAAACUAAAUGUCUUCCAGUUCCAGGGAGUUCAUGGUAGCUCUCUGUUUUAAAAAAGAAAAAAGGACAGGAUUAGAAGUUUUGAGCAGUAAUGUAUCUCUAACUAACUUCAAACUAACCAUCAACCACUACCCUGCUGUUAUGAGAAAAGUACAUAAAUUAAGCAUUGGCUUUGAUAAAAUAAGAGACAGAAAAAUCUUUGUGCCCAUUUGGUUCAAAGCAUGGAAAGAAAGAGAGACCGCAGAUAAAAUGA